rnacentral:rRNA from 1 species
UACAUAGGGUGCAAGCGUUGUCCGGAAUUAUUGGGCGUAAAGAGCUCGUAGGUGGUUCGUUACGUCGGAUGUGAAAAUCUGGGGCUCAACCCCAGACCUGCAUCCGAUACGGUCGAGCUAGAGUUUGGUAGGGGAGACUGGAAUUCCUGGUGUAGCGGUGGAAUGCGCAGAUAUCAGGAGGAACACCAAUGGCGAAGGCGACUUUCUGGACUGUAACUGACGCUGAGGCGCGAAAGCGUGGGGAGCAAACAGG